CUGCCCAAAGCUGGGUCUUCUGGCCCCAAGUCGGGAGCACGCUGCACACCUCAUGCCGUGGGUCAGUCCUUGAAGCUCUCCGUGAAGGUGUACAUUGCACCCCUCGUCGACCGGCAGAGAGCCAGGCCUCAGGGAUGAGAUCCUGGAAAGUGUGAAUACUUCCACCGCAGCCCAUGUCCAGUUACCAACACGGGGUACUGUGCAUGGAGCUGGAGAGAGCCACCAGGUCGCUCCAGUUUGGUGCCAGCGCCUGGAGGGAGAGGCGUGGCGAGGGCUGUGCAGCCUAGGAUCCACUGAGUGGCUCUCGCUGGUGUCUCAACUGCGCACGAACCAGAGCUGGGAGGCUCGGCUGGAGGUGUGACCAGGGCAGGGACCGACCUGGCCCAGAACAGAAGCGCGCAGAGUCCCAUCCUGCCACGCCACGAGAAGAGAAGAAGGAAAGAUACAGUGUUAGCAAAGAGACCUCCCUAGCCCCUGCGCCCCUGCGCCCCCGCGCCCCCGCGUCCCCGCGUCCCCGCGCCUCGCUUCAGCCUCAGGACGGUCCUGCCGGGACGGUGAGCU
rnacentral:sRNA from 1 species